CGGGAUAAGGUACGCCCUUGUAGUUUGACUGGCUCGCGCCAGAAGGACGAAGGGGUUGCAAUAAAAUGGUGGCUGCGACUGUUUAAUAAAAACACAGCACUCUGCAAACACGAAAGUGGACGUAUAGGGUGUGACGCCUGCCCGGUGCCGGAAGAUUAAAUGAUGGGGUGCAAGCUCUUGAUUGAAGUCCCGGUAAACGGCGGCCGUAACUAUAACGGUCCUAAGGUAGCGAAAUUCCUUGUCGGGUAAGUUCCGACCUGCACGAAUGGCGUAACGAUGGCCACACUGUCUCCUCCCGAGACUCAGCGAAGUUGAAGUGUUUGUGAUGAUGCAAUCUACCCGCGGCUAGACGGAAAGACCCCAUGAACCUUUACUGUAGCUUUGCAUUGGACUUUGAACCGAUCUGUGUAGGAUAGGUGGGAGGCUUUGAAACCGGGACGCUAGUUUCGGUGGAGCCGACCUUGAAAUACCACCCUGGUUUGUUUGAGGUUCUAACCUUGGCCCGUGAAUCCGGGUCGGGGACAGUGCAUGGUAGGCAGUUUGACUGGGGCGGUCUCCUCCCAAAGUGUAACGGAGGAGUUCGAAGGUACGCUAGGCACGGUCGGAAAUCGUGCUGAUAGUGCAUAGGCAUAAGCGUGCUUGACUGCGAGACUGACAAGUCGAGCAGGUACGAAAGUAGGACUAAGUGAUCCGGUGGUUCUGUAUGGAAGGGCCAUCGCUCAACGGAUAAAAGGUACUCUGGGGAUAACAGGCUGAUACCGCCCAAGAGUUCAUAUCGACGGCGGUGUUUGGCACCUCGAUGUCGGCUCAUCACAUCCUGGGGCUGUAGUCGGUCCCAAGGGUAUGGCUGUUCGCCAUUUAAAGUGGUACGCGAGCUGGGUUUAGAACGUCGUGAGACAGUUCGGUCCCUAUCUGCCGUGGACGUUUGAGAUUUGAGAGGGGCUGCUCCUAGUACGAGAGG
rnacentral:rRNA from 1 species